AAAGAAUUGAAAAGAACACCAGGUCCCAGAGUAAGAUAUUCUUGGAUAGAUCCAGAUACGAAUUGUAAUCCAAAGUUAAAAAUAGUAAUUGUAUUUGUAAUCCAAAGUCUUUAAAGGCCUGUAGAAGUUUACAUUUUUUAGAUACAUUGCUGGAGUUUGUGUUUGUAGAAUACCCGGGUAUUUGUUGUUUAGUAUUGGUUGUAGAGUCCAGCUUUCCAAAUAUUUGGC